UUACAGUUGAACAACAAGACUGUAUGGCUCACAAGUCCAAAUUAGAAGCAGAUCUAGCUAGAAGAGCAGAACACUACUUUUCUGAGAACAUGCGGGUUAUUAAAGGUUUUAAGCAAGUGUGAUUAUUAUGGCGUUGUUGCUCAUAUAUUCUGUUUGAGGAGUCUGCCGACUUUGUAUAAAAAGGAUAACUGCAGACACCGUGCAAUCAGACGAGGCUUCAUCAUCUAUGCAAAGUAACAAAAGUUAGAAAAGAGAUGGAAGGUGCUCGGUAGAGUAUGAAGUUUUGCGAGAAGUAUAGGGCGGAUGUUAGAAAAUGGAUUUAUGGAUUGAUUGAAUGUUGGGGAUUGUUU